rnacentral:rRNA from 1 species
AUUGAACGCUGGCGGCAGGCCUAACACAUGCAAGUCGAGCGAGCGGCGGACGGGUGAGUAAUGUUUGGGGACUGCCCGAUAGAGGGGGAUAACUACUGGAAACGGUGACUAAUACCGCAUACUUCCGGAUAACCCAUAUGGGUUUAGCUAGUUGGUGGGGUAAAGGCUCACCUAGGCUACGAUCUCUAGCUGGUCUGAGAGGAUGAUCAGCCACACUGGGACGGAGACACGGCCCAGACUCCUACGGAGGCAACAGUGGGGAAUAUUGGACAAUGGGCGCAAGCCGGAUGCAGCCAGGCCGCGUGAAUGAAGAAGGCGUUAGGGUUGUAAAGUACUUUCAGCGGGGAGGCGUUACCCGAAGAAGAAGCACCGGCUAACUACGUGCCAGCAGCCGCGGUAAUUC